GCAUUGGUGGUUCAAUGGUAAAAUUUUUGGCUUUCAUGCAGGAGAUCUGGGUUCAAUUCCUAGCCAAUGCA
rnacentral:tRNA from 1 species